AUUGAACGCUGGCGGCAGGCUUAACACAUGCAAGUCGAGCGGGGAAGGUAGCUUGCUACUGGACCUAGCGGCGGACGGAUGAGUAAUGCUUAGGAAUCUGCCUAUUAGUGGGGGACAACAUCUCGAAAGGGAUGCUAAUACCGCAUACGUCAUACGGGAGAAAGCAGGGGACCUUCGGACCUUGCGCUAAUAGAUGAGCCUAAGUCGGAUUAGCUAGUUGGUGGGGUAAAGGACUACCAAGGAGACGAUCUGUAGCGGGUCUGAGAGGAUGAUCCGCCACACUGGGACUGAGACACGGCCCAGACUCCUACGGGAGGCAGCAGUGGGGAAUAUUGGACAAUGGGGGGAACCCUGAUCCAGCCAUGCCGCGUGUGUGAAGAAGGCCUUAUGGUUGUAAAGCACUUUAAGCGAGGAGGAGGCUACUCUAGUUAAUACCUAGUGAUAGUGGACGUUACUCGCAGAAUAAGCACCGGCUAACUCUGUGCCAGCCGCCGCCGUAA
rnacentral:rRNA from 1 species